rnacentral:rRNA from 1 species
CAACCUGCCGACAACACUGGGAUAGCCUUUCGAAAGAAAGAUUAAUACCGGAUGGCAUAAUUUUCCCNCAUGGGAUAAUUAUUAAAGAAUUCCGGUUGUCGAUGGGGAUGCGUUCCAUUAGGCAGUUGGCGGGGUAACGGCCCACCAAACCAACGAUGGAUAGGGGUUCUGAGAGGAAGGUCCCCCACAUUGGAACUGAGGCACGGUCCAAACUCCUACGGGAGGCAGCAGUGAGGAAUAUUGGUCAAUGGACGAGAGUCUGAACCAGCCAAGUAGCGUGAAGGAUGACUGCCCUAUGGGUUGUAAACUUCUUUUAUACGGGAAUAAAGUGAGCCACGUGUGGCUUUUUGUACGUACCGUAUGAAUAAGGAUCGGCUAACUCCGUGCCAGCAGCCGCGGUAAUACGGAGGAUCCGAGCGUUAUCCGGAUUUAUUGGGUUUAAAGGGAGCGUANGCGGGUUGUUAAGUCAGUUGUGAAAGUUUGCGGCUCAACCGUAAAAUUGCAGUUGAUACUGGCGACCUUGAGUGCAACAGAGGUAGGCGGAAUUCGUGGUGUAGCGGUGAAAUGCUUAGAUAUCACGAANAACUCCGANUG